rnacentral:lncRNA from 1 species
GUCGAGACUCCUCUACCCUGUGCAAAGGUGUAUGAGUUUCGACCCCAGAGCUCUGUGUGCUUUCAUGUUGCUGCUUUAUUUCGACCCCAGAGCUCUGGUCUGUGUGCUUUCAUGUUGCUACUUUAUUAAAUCUUGCCUUCUACAUUUUAUGUAUGGUCUCAGUGUCUUCUUGGGUACGCGGCUGUCCCGGGACUUGAGUGUCUGAGUGAGGGUCUCCCCUCGAGGGUCUUUCAUUUGGCCGGGAAUUCGAAAAUCUUUCAUUUGGUGCAUUGGCCGGGAAUUCGAGAAUCUUUCAUUUGGUGCGUUGGCCGGGAAACAGCGCGACCACCCAGAGGUCCUAGACCCACUUAGAGGUAAGAUUCUUUGUUCUGCUUUGGUCUGAUGUCUGUGUUCUGAUGUCUGUGUUCUGAUGUCUGUGUUCUGUUUCUAAGUUUGGUGCGAUCGCAGUUUCAGUUUUGCGGAUGCUCAGUGAGACCGCACUCCGAGAGGGAGUGCGGGGUGGAUAAGGAUAGACGUGUCCAGGUGUCCACCGUCCGUUCGCCCUGGGAGACGUCCCAGGAGGAACAGGGGAGGAUCAGGGACGCCUGGUGGACCCCUUUGAAGGCCAAGAGACCAUUUGGGGUUGUGAGAUCGUGGGUUAGAGUCCCACCUCGUGCCCAGUUGCGAGAUCGUGGGUUCGAGUCCCACCUCGUGUUUUGUUGCGAGAUCGUGGGUUCGAGUCCCACCUCGCGUCUGGUCACGGGAUCGUGGGUUCGAGUCCCACCUCGUGCAGAGGGUCUCAAUCGGCCGGCCUUAGAGAGGCCAUCUGAUUCUUCUGGUUUCUUUUUUGUCUUAGUCUCGUGUCCGCUCUUGUUGUGACUACUGUUUUUCUAGAAAUGGGACAAUCUGUGUCCACUCCCCUUUCUCUGACUCUGGUUCUGUCGCUUGGUAAUUUUGUUUGUUUACGUUUGUUUUUGUGAGUCGUCUAUGUUGUCUGUUACUAUCUUGUUUUUGUUUGUGGUUUACGGUUUCUGUGUGUGUCUUUUGUGUCUCUUUGUGUUCGGACUUGGACUGAUGACUGACGACUGUUUUUAAGUUAUGCCUUCUGAAAUAAGCCUAAAAAUCCUGUCAGAUCCCUAUGCUGACCACUUCCUUUCAGAUCAACAGCUGCCCUGCCUCCCACUCCAACUCCAGAGAGCAGCCAGCGGGUCACAGUGGUCCCGUCCAUGGACCUGGAGCCUAGGGGGAAAAUGAGUUCAAAAAUCCGGAGCAAAUGAGGGGUGGUCCCUGAAAAGUCAGUGGCCUGGAUGCUGUGGCUGCUGAAAAAAAAAAAAAAAAAGAAGAGGAGGCUGUUCGAGUAGCCGGCCAAGAGCGCUGCAGGUUCCCAGGCAGCUUCUCAUUCCCCUGUCCCUUGCAUCCCGUCUCUUGUUAACAGAAAAACUGCUUUCACUUUGAGAUAUGAGUGGCCCGAUACAGCCAGCUGUGAGAGCUGCACUCCCUUCCCUGCCCCACGUGUUUUCUCUUCUCAGGCGACCCCUCCCUGAGCUGCUGACAGUGAGUCUGUUCUAAGCUCCAGUGAGGGAGGCAUCCGCCCACUUGGGGCUUCUGUCCAAGGUAAGGAGCACCUGUGAGUCUAACUGCCAGGCUCUGAUGGGGGUCUCGUCUCUGUGGGACUAAAAAGAGUCCCAACAAUCUGACCAAGGUAACAGGAAGUUACAAAAGCAAAGAGAAGGACAGGGUAAGUUGGUAAGAAAGUUAGUGUAAGUAGAUAAGAAAGUGCAGAGGAGGAGAAACAAAGGAAGGAUAGAGGUCUGCAAAAAAGUGAGCUAAAAGCAAAUCUUCAGCAGACCCAGAAGAGAUAGGUUAACAGUGAAGAGAAGUGAAAAUAGAGAUGAAAGAGAUUAGAGAGGUCUAAAAUGAGAGAGAUACUCUGAAUGAGAAAUAUUUAGAGGAAGAACCAGUAAAUAAGAGUCAGACAAGAAAAAGAGUUAAAGAAACAUGAGGCUGACAAAGACAGAGACCAAAGUCAGAAUCAGAGCUGUGCUGUGAGACAAAAAGAUAAGAGAAAUAAAAUGCUGGUCACAAAAGUCAGGAAAACUAGAAAACUUAGAUAGUACCUGGCAACAAAAGAAAGCUUUUUGGCUAAAGAUCAAUGUGUUUAAGAGAUAACAAAAGGGGUGCUAACACAGAAGCUGAGUCCUUAAAAGAGUCCGGUGGCCUACCUGUUGAAACAGCUAAAAAAAGAGACUGUGUUUCAUACUCCUCCACCGACCAGUGCAAAACAAGCUAAAAAGUUCCUGGGCACUGCGGGCUUUUGCAGAUUGUGGAUUCCAGGUUUUGCUGAGUUAAAGAGAUAAACAGCCCUUCGUAUAGAAAAAUAAAGAACAAUCUUAGAUGGCCUUGGAUGCUCUUGAGACUGCCCUAAUGUUAUCCCCAGCUAUGAGACUCCUAGAUGUGACUGAGAACAAAGGUAUUGCCAAAAGAAGUUCUUACUCAGAGAUUGGAACCCUGAAAAAGACCUGUGGCAUACUUGUAAGAAAUUAGACCUGGUGGCUGUAGGAUGGCCUGCUUGUCUGCACAUAGUGGCUUCUGGUCAAGGACGCAGAUAAAUUCACUCUGAGACAAAACUUGGCACAUGUCCUAGAAAGUGUGGUUCAGCCCCCAUGACCGAUGGCUGACUAACGCUCUUGAAAACAUUAUCCAACUGUUCCCCUGACCGAUGGACACAUUGUCAGAGCUUUUUGUUGACUGAACGAGUGACCUUCGCUCCCCCUGCUAUCCUCGAUCUCACUACUGCCUGAGACUUCACCUACUCAUCAUUGUGCUGACAUUCUGGCAGAAGGAACUCAUACUCGAAAUGAUCUGAAGGAUCAGAUCAGCCUUGGCCUGAGAGUUUGAGCUGGUACACGGAUGGCAGUAGCCUCGAGGUUAAGGGUAAGCGGAAGGCGGGGACAACAGUGCAGUGGUGGACAGAAAGCAAGUGAUCUAGGCCAGCAGCCUCCCUAAAGGGACUUCAGCCCAGAAAGCUAAACUUGUGGCUUUAAUACAAGCUCUAUAAAUGGUAAAAGAAAAGUCUACACUGACAGCAGGUACGCUCUUGCCACUGUACAGAGCAAUAUACAGACAAAGAGAGCUGUUGACAUCAGCAGAGAAAGACCUAAGAUGCUGUGGCUAAAAAAAAAAAAAUCAGGUGGCAAAUCUAACCGCCCAGGCAUCCUAAAGAGCAAUGAUCCUGACAGUCUGAAGACUAUCAAGUUAUAGACAAAUUAAGACUGGUAAAAGAAACCCUGUAUAAAAUAGUAAAAACUGAAAAAAAAAACUAGUCCUCUCAUGAGAAGACAGACCUGACAUCUACUGAAAAAUAGACUUCACUG